AACGAACGCUGGCGGCAUGCCUAACACAUGCAAGUCGAACGAACCCUUCGGGGUGAGUGGCGCACGGGUGCGUAACACGUGGGAACCUGCCCUUAGGUUCGGAAUAACAGCGAGAAAUUGCUGCUAAUACCGGAUAAUGUCUUCGGACCAAAGAUUUAUCGCCUUUGGAUGGGCCCGCGUAGGAUUAGCUAGUUGGUGAGGUAAAGGCUCACCAAGGCGACGAUCCUUAGCUGGUCUUAGAGGAUGAUCAGCCACACUGGGACUGAGACACGGCCCAGACUCCUACGGGAGGCAGCAGUGGGGAAUAUUGGACAAUGGGCGAAAGCCUGAUCCAGCAGUGCCGCGUGAGUGAUGAAGGCCUUAGGGUUGUAAAGCUCUUUUACUGGGGAUGAUAAUGACAGUACCCAGAGAAUAAGCCCCGGCUAACUCCGUG
rnacentral:rRNA from 1 species